UCCCCGCUUCUCCUCCCUGGGCGGGUGCCUGUCGUUCUACGAUUAGGCUGUUGACCCGCCGCAUGACGGCGGGUUUUUUUAU
rnacentral:ncRNA from 1 species